GGGAUAACCAUCGUUUACUGUGAAAAAAUUAGAGUGUUUAAAGCAGGCUUAUGCCGUUGAAUAUAUUAGCAUGGAAUAAUAAGAUAGGACUUUGAGUCUAUUUUGUUGGUUUGCGAGUCAAAGUAAUGAUUAAUAGGGACAGUUGGGGGUAUUCGUAUUUCAUUGUCAGAGGUG
rnacentral:rRNA from 1 species